UUGGCCCUACGGGGGGCAGCAGUGAGGAAUAUUGGUCAAUGGGCGGGAGCCUGAACCAGCCAAGUCGCGUGAGGGAAGACGGUCCUAUGGAUUGUAAACCUCUUUAGGCGGGGAGCAAUGCCGGGCACGUGUGCCCGGAGGGAGAGUACCCGCAGAAUAAGCAUCGGCUAACUCCGUGCCAGCAGCCGCGGUAAUACGGAGGAUGUGAGCGUUAUCCGGAUUUAUUGGGUUUAAAGAGUGCGUAGGCGGAUUUUUAAGUCAGCGGUAAAAUGUCCGGGAUCAACCCGGGCCGGCCGUU
rnacentral:rRNA from 1 species